GCUAAGAAUCUUCCGCAAUGGCCUAACGGCUGACGGAGCGACGCCGCGUGGACGAAGAAGGCCGCAAGGUUGUAAAGUCCUUUUGCAGACGAAGAAUAAGGCAAGGAGUGGAACGCCUUGUCGAUGACGUUAGUCUGCGAAUAAGCCCCGGCCAAUUACGUGCCAGCAGCCGCGGUAACACGUAUGGGGCAAGCGUUGUUCGGAAUUACUGGGCGUAAAGGGCGUGUAGGCGGUUUCGUAAGCCUGGCGUGAAAGUCAUCGGCCCAACCGAUGGACGGCGCUGGGAACUGCGGGACUGGAGUUUUGGAGGGGGAGCUGGAAUUCCAGGUGUAGGGGUGAAAUCUGUAGAGAUCUGGAAGAACACCGGAGGCGAAGGCGAGCUCCUGGCCACAGACUGACGCUGAGGCGCGAAAGCGUGGGGAGCAAACAGGAUUAGAUACCCGGGUAGUCC
rnacentral:rRNA from 1 species